AUGUUAUUUUUACAGAAUGAUCCUCAUCGACAAAUGAUAUGAGUGACAAUGAUACUAAUUCUGGGUUAAGUACUUGGGAUACACUGGUCUUAAUCUUUACAUUUUUGGCGUGUGCCGCAGUAUUGAUAUGUUGGUAUAUGUUUAAAUACCUAUGUACACGAAAAAAGAAUCAGAGUCCGAGUGGAAUGGAUAAUACGAGGCAAG
rnacentral:lncRNA from 1 species